CGGCCCGGCCGGUGCAACGGUUGACGUCCGAACCACGUCAGGACAGGAAUGUAGCAGCGUUAAGGUUGCUCAGGCGUGUGCUGCCGUAACCGGGUCGAAU
rnacentral:SRP_RNA from 1 species